AGUGAACGCUGGCGGUAUGCCUAACACAUGCAAGUCGAACGGCAGCACAGUAAGAGCUUGCUCUUACGGGUGGCGAGUGGCGGACGGGUGAGGAAUACAUCGGAAUCUACUUUUUCGUGGGGGAUAACGUAGGGAAGCUUACUCUAAUACCGCAUACGACCUACGGGUGAAAGCAGUGGAUCUUCGGACCUUUCGCGAUUGAAUAAGCCGAUGUCGGAUUAGCUGGUUGGCGGGGUAAAUGCCCACCAAGGCGACGAUCCGUAGCUGGUCUGAGAGGAUGAUCAGCCACCUUGGAAGUGAGACACGGUCCAGACUCCUACGGGAGGACGCAGUGGGGAAUAGUAGACAAUGGGGGAGAGCCUGAUACAGCCAUACCGCGUGGGUGAAGAAGGCCUUCGGGUUGUAAAGACCUUUUGUUGGGAAAGAAAAGCAGCCGGUUAAUACGCAGCUGUUCUGACGGUACCGAAAGAAUAAGCACCGGCUAACUUCGUG
rnacentral:rRNA from 1 species